GGUACACUUUAUCCUUCUCCGAGGUAUUGAGGUCCUCGAAUAGGGUCUCCAUCGAGUCGAUCCACGACUCCACAACCGCCGGCUCCACCAAACCGCCCUCGAAGGUAGGUGGGUCGAACUUCUUGAACUGAAUGAGAGCCGCCAAAGUGCGCUCUCGCUCCGCAUCGACUGCCGCGCUAUCGGGAUUCGAAGUUCCCGACCCGGCCGGUACUACCGUAACUGGAACAGCCGCUGCUGCCACCGCUCUCUCAACAAC
rnacentral:lncRNA from 1 species